rnacentral:rRNA from 1 species
GAUGAACGCUGGCGGCGUGCCUAAUACAUGCAAGUCGAGCGAACAGACGAGGAGCUUGCUCCUCUGACGUUAGCGGCGGACGGGUGAGUAACACGUGGAUAACCUACCUAUAAUACUUGGAUAACUUCGGGAAACCGGAGCUAAUACCGGAUAAUAUAUUUAACCGCAUGGUUCAAUAGUGAAAGACGGUUUUGCUGUCACUUAUAGAUGGAUCCGCGCCGCAUUAGCUAGUUGGUAAGGUAACGGCUUACCAAGGCGACGAUGCGUAGCCGACCUGAGAGGGUGAUAGGCCACACUGGAACUGAGAAACGGUCCAGACUCCUACGGGAGGCAGCAGUAGGGAAUCUUCCGCAAUGGGCGAAAGCCUGACGGAGCAACGCCGCGUGAGUGAUGAAGGUCUUCGGAUCGUAAAACUCUGUUAUUAGGGAAGAACAAAUGUGUAAGUAACUAUGCACGUCUUGACGGUACCUAAUCAGAAAGCCACGGCUAACUACGUG